AACCAUAGAAACCUGCGGAGUACCUGCGGAGGGAUCAUUAUAGUAUAUGGAAUCCCCAUUCUAUAAACCCACUCUGCGUAUCUUGUAACUGUUGCUUCCAUGGGACUUGGUUCCGCCACACCGGCUUCACGGCUGGUGAGCGCCCAUGGAAGGAGAAACAAAACUCUUCUUUGAAAUGUAGUCAGUCUGAACAAGUUUUUAUAAACGUUAAAACUUUUAACAAUGGAUCUCAGAUCGGAA
rnacentral:misc_RNA from 1 species